UACGAAGGGGGCUAGCGUUGCUCGGAAUCACUGGGCGUAAAGCGCACGUAGGCGGAUUGUUAAGUCAGGGGUGAAAUCCUGGAGCUCAACUCCAGAACUGCCUCUGAUACUGGCGAUCUCGAGUCCGGGAGAGGUGAGUGGAACUGCGAGUGUAGAGGUGAAAUUCGUAGAUAUUCGCAAGAACACCAGUGGCGAAGGCGGCCUCACUGGCCCGGUACUGACGCUGAGGUGCGAAAGCGUGGGGAGCAAACAGG
rnacentral:rRNA from 1 species